UUACCACGGUAGGAUUCAUGACUGGGGUGAAGUCGUAACAAGGUAGCCGUAUCGGAAGGUGCGGCUGGAUCACCUCCUUUCAGAGCU
rnacentral:rRNA from 2 species